CGAGUAUAAAACCCUCGUUUUCAAGUUAAUCUCUCAAUCAUCUCUCGUUUCUCUGUUCUCUGCCCUAGCGUACUUCGUUGCUUCCUGAUCAAGUCAAUCCACCGUUGGCGGCUCUCGAUCUCCAACACUUUCAAUCUCGAUUUCUUGUUUAAUAUACUUUUUUAUUUUAAAUAUUUCAUUGUGUUUAUUUUUUUUUUUUUUCUCUUAACGCUCUAAUUUGUUCUAUUACAGGCCCCUUGCUAGAUUAAUUCUUGCGCGAUUCUUUCUCUCAAUUCUAUAUUCUCUCGCUAUAAUCCAUAAUUGAAAUUGUCGUAGUAGUAGUAGUGUUUUUUUGGUGUUAUUAACGUGAUGGAUGCAGGAUUAAGGAACUCUGCUUCUUCAAACAAGGCUCAAUCCCGUUUCCCUCUUCAGGAGGAGUAUCUUCAGAGAAAAAAUUCCCGCGAAAAUUUGGAUAGGUUCAUUCCAAAUAGAUCAGCAAUGGAUUUCGACUAUGCACAUUAUAUGGUGACGAAAGGUAAGGAAAAUCCAGUCACCAGCUCACCAUCCAGAGAGGCAUAUAGAAAGCAGCUCGCGGAGGCCUUGAACAUGAACAGGACACGGAUCCUUGCAUUUAAGAACAAACCACCCACCCCUGUGGAGGGCAUCCCAAAUGAGUUUUCUUCUGCUGCUUACCAGGCCAAACCAACGAAACCCAAGCGCCACAUUCCUCAGACCUCUGAGAGGACUUUGGAUGCUCCAGAUAUUGUGGAUGAUUACUACUUAAAUCUAUUAGAUUGGGGCAGCAGCAAUGUUCUUUCUAUAGCUUUGGGCAGUACUGUUUACCUGUGGGAUGCAUCUGAAGGCAGCACUUCCGAACUGGUCACAAUUGAUGAUGAAAAUGGUCCUGUUACAAGUGUUAAAUGGGCUCCAGAUGGGAGGCAUAUUGCUAUUGGCUUAAACAACUCUGACGUGCAGCUUUGGGAUACCACAGCUAACCGAUUGUUGAGAACUUUGAGAGGCGGCCACCAAUCACGAGUCGGUGCCCUUGACUGGAACAAUCAUAUACUGACUACAGGCGGAAUGGAUGGUCUGAUUAACAACAAUGAUGUCCGAAUUAGAGCCCCUAUUGUAGAAACGUAUAGAGGACAUCAUCAAGAAGUCUGUGGCCUAAAAUGGUCUGCCUCUGGCCAGCAGUUGGCUAGUGGAGGAAAUGAUAAUCUCCUCCACAUAUGGGAUAGAUCAACUGCUUCUUCCAACUCCUCGACACAGUGGCUUCACAGGCUUGAGGAUCACACAGCUGCUGUUAAGGCGCUUGCUUGGUGUCCAUUUCAGGGUAACUUGCUGGCCUCCGGUGGAGGUGGAGGCGAUAGGUGCAUAAAGUUCUGGAAUACCCAUACUGGUGCUUGUGUGAACUCAGUUGAUACAGGGUCACAGGUCUGUGCACUGCUUUGGAGCAAGAAUGAGCGUGAAUUGCUAAGCUCUCAUGGGUUUACUCAGAAUCAGCUUACUCUCUGGAAAUACCCAUCAAUGGUUAAGAUGGCAGAGCUUACUGGACAUACAUCCCGAGUUCUUUUCAUGGCUCAGAGUCCAGAUGGUUGCACAGUGGCUUCUGCAGCAGGAGAUGAAACACUGAGAUUCUGGAAUGUUUUUGGAACCCCUGAAGUAGCAAAACAGGCUCAAAAGUCAAAUCCGGAGCCAUUUGCUCACAUCAACCGAAUUCGCUGAAUAUUAUAACCCUCUGCCUGGUUUGACAUUUCAUAUCUUCUCAGGAACCAGAUACAGAUGAUGAUAUGGCUUUAGAGUCAGCAGAAAAGAAGCAUCUAUGGAAUUACAACCUUAAGCACCAGCUUGAAGAUGGAAGAAGCAUUCAAUUCAAGUAAUGUGACACAAUCACUUGCUAAUUGGAAUCUUGUUGAGAGGUCUCCGAAUGCAUUUUUUAGGCGAAUCAUUUAUGAACAGCCAGUACUCAUCAGAUAAAGGCAGUUGUGGUGUGGUGGUCAAGCUACUUCAUUUAUGAAAUCCAGGGGGGUACCAAUGGCUGAAAGCUCCAAGCAAUAUAUACCCUAACUUCAAGGGUAGCUCCAAUCUAGUUUCUGUGCAUAUCAAUUGUGAACAAUGUCUCAUUUGUUUGUACAUGUCUUGUUGUUUUGAUGCCUAAUUAGCUCAAAAACAUCCUGCCCCAAUGUUUAAUAUUGGUAUGUAAAUUCUAUUUCAGAUAAAUGCAUUUUGCAAA